rnacentral:rRNA from 1 species
AUACAGAGGGUGCGAGCGUUAAUCGGAAUUACUGGGCGUAAAGCGCGCGUAGGCGGCUCAUUAAGUCAGAUGUGAAAUCCCCGGGCUCAACCUGGGAACUGCAUCUGAUACUGGUAAGCUAGAGUUUUGGAGAGGGAAGUAGAAUUUCAGGUGUAGCGGUGAAAUGCAUAGAGAUCUGAAGGAAUACCAGUGGCGAAGGCGACUUCCUGGCCAAAAACUGACGCUGAGGUGCGAAAGCGUGGGUAGCAAACGGGAUUAGAAACCCCAGUAGUCC